rnacentral:sRNA from 1 species
AGCAAAUAUUUAUUCCCCGCAUAUUUUCCCUUUUCUUUCACGCUCCAGUUUUGAAACCUGUGGAUUCCCCCGGUCAAACAUUGCUUGACUGCCAUGAAUUGGGUCGGUUUGUUUUCCUCUGGUUUCUCGAGCUGCUUCUUAAAAACGCCUUACAGCGGGACGGGGCGGGGGGGGGGGGGGAAACGGGGGGAAGGGAAGGCAGCUCUAUGGGGCAGCGCUGUUUUACACGCGGGUUAGACACGGCUAGAGGCCAAGGUCAAGUUGAAAGUUGCAGUCUAGCCAAUGUGAGAACUGUCAUUCACAGCCCGAAGACCC